GAUGAACGCUAGCUACAGGCUCAACACGUGCAAGUCGAGGGGCAUCAGGAAGAAAGCUUGCUUUCUUUGCUGGCGACCGGCGCACGGGUGAGUAACACGUAUCCAACCUGCUCUUUACUCGGGGAUAGCCUUUCGAAAGAAAGAUUAAUACCCGAUGGGAUAAUGAUUCCGCAUGGUUUGAUUAUUAAAGGAUUCCGGUAAAGGAUGGGGAUGCGUUCCAUUAGGUUGUUGGUGAGGUAACGGCUCACCAAGCCUUCGAUGGAUAGGGGUUCUGAGAGGAAGGUCCCCCACAUUGGAACUGAGACACGGUCCAAACUCCUACGGGAGGCAGCAGUGAGGAAUAUUGGUCAAUGGGCGCGAGCCUGAACCAGCCAAGUAGCGUGAAGGAUGACUGCCCUAUGGGUUGUAAACUUCUUUUAUAUUAGAAUAAAGUGCAGUAUGUAUACUGUUUUGUAUGUAUAAUAUGAAUAAGGAUCGGCUAACUCCGUGCCAGCAGCCGCCGUAA
rnacentral:rRNA from 1 species